rnacentral:rRNA from 1 species
GAUGAACGCUGGCGGCGUGCUUAACACAUGCAAGUCGAACGGUGAAGCCAAGCUUGCUUGGUGGAUCAGUGGCGAACGGGUGAGUAACACGUGAGCAAUCUGCCCUUGACUCUGGGAUAAGCGCUGGAAACGGCGUCUAAUACUGGCUAUGAGCUGUAGCCGCAUGGUCGGCAGUUGGAAAGAAUUUCGGUCAAGGAUGAGCUCGCGGCCUAUCAGCUUGUUGGUGAGGUAAUGGCUCACCAAGGCGUCGACGGGUAGCCGGCCGGAGAGGGUGACCGGCCACACUGGGACUGAGACACGGCCCAGACUCCUACGGGAGGCAGCAGUGGGGAAUAUUGCACAAUGGGCGCAAGCCUGAUGCAGCAACGCCGCGUGAGGGACGACGGCCUUCGGGUUGUAAACCUCUUUUAGCAGGGAAGAAGCGAAAGUGACGGUACCUGCAGAAAAAGCACCGGCUAACUACGUGCCAGCCGCCGCAGUAA